rnacentral:rRNA from 1 species
AGACAGCAGUCGCCGCGGUAAUACGUAGGUGGCAAGCGUUGUCCGGAAUUAUUGGGCGUAAAGCGCGCGCAGGCGGAUAGGUCAGUCUGUCUUAAAAGUUCGGGGCUUAACCCCGUGAUGGGAUGGAAACUGCCAAUCUAGAGUAUCGGAGAGGAAAGUGGAACUCCCAGUGUAGCGGUGAAAUGCGUAGAUAUUAGGAAGAACACCAGUGGCGAAGGCGACUUUCUGGACGAAAACUGACGCUGAGGCGCGAAAGCCAGGGGAGCGAACGGGAUUAGAUACCCGAGUAGUCCCUGUCUCUUAUACA